rnacentral:tRNA from 1 species
GUCCCCAUCGUCUAGAGGCCUAGGACACCGCCCUUUCACGGCGGUAACACGGGUUCGAAUCCCGUUGGGGACG